GUACAGUCCUAUAAUUGGUAGAAUUUAAUACCUUUAUAUACUCUAUAUAUACUUUUGUGAGCAAUACAAGAAAAUUAAUUCUCCCAAAACUCUCAACACUUUCUACUAAUACUAUUUAUUUGGGUUGAUUGAGUAAACUGACCACAUAGGCACAAUUGUCUCUAUUGUCACUUGCUUUGUUAAGAGCAAUCUCAAAGCCACAACGAGACAAAGUUUAAAGAAUUGAGAAUAAUCCAUUUACUUAUUAGAGAAUUUAUAUAUAUAUAUUGUAAGCAUAAAACUUUAUCCAAGGUGAUGGUGUAUCACAUACGUCAUAAAUUAAUAUCUUUAUAAUUGAAGAUUAUCAGUUUAAACAAUCUAGGCUUCUGAUACCACAUGUAAGCGUAAAUGAAAUUUUACCAGGAUCUUAAACAUGGUAAUCUUACAUGUAAUCGACAUAGAAAUAUACCUGAAUCGUGAGCAAUCAUCUUUAAGCGGAAGCGUUAAUCGUUGAUUGGUUUCUCGCCCCUUGCCCUAGCUUUCGUUACCUAGACUUUAAGGAUGGAAGAGAGGAAAAAGCAGUAACCCUAGUGGGUGGGGAGAGGACCAAUUUAUUAAAAUUCUCAUUUAAUCUGGUGCCACACCUCCUCUUUGCCUGUGCCCGUAGGGGCGUAAAGGGAGUUUUUCCAUUUAAAGGACAAUCGAAACGGGAUUUAUUAGUAAACGAUCAGAAUCCCCACUUGGGGGAUUUAUGGUGUCCCAAGUCACCUGUUGAAUCCCGAAUCGAAGGAAAAUGUUGACUCUGUUUAACAGUUAGCGCACCAAAAAUUCGAGUAAGGAAUUCUGUUAACCCGGGAGAAGGUGUUACCGAGUUUUGUGGUUCUAGUACGAUCGGUCAAUUGUUAUAUUCGGCUUAUUUAUCUAAUUUUAAUACAUGUUAAACCUAUGUGCAAAUUUCAACCCUUAUCUCUUUUAUUAGUAUCAUUAUUUUAAAUAGAAUUGCAACGUCGUGAAAACGCGUCUCGAACCACGUCACAUCAUUGUACCUGUGGUUGUUGACACAUAUCGACUCCGUUGAGAUUUGAAUUGGGGUCACGUAAAUGUGCACCCGAUUUUAGGGAGGUAAUGUUAUUAAAGUACACGCCUAUAGAGACUAACACGUUAUUAUUUUGGAAAGACCGUAAAAUCGCUAAACGGCUCGUCCUGAAAUCUAAGUGUUUUAAUAUAUACACUCAUGAGGGCCCCGCAAUUUAUUGCAUUUUUAUUGGGCGAGGCUCAUCUUAUUUUAUUUAUUAAAAAGACAAACCUAAAAGCGACUAUGAUUUGCUAUUUAUUUUAUCUCUAAAUAAAUAAAGAAAAGAUCCUGAUUAAUUAACAUGCUUGAAAAGGCCCUAAUUUAUUAGUUAUUUGGAUUAAGGCAAGGGCAAACGAACUCGAGCUUCCAUAAGGGAGAUUGUUUCGUACCUUAUUCUAUUAGUGUAUAUUACUAAAGUUAAAAUUAUAAAUAGAAUAUGUAAUUGAAAAACAAUAUUAUCAAAAUAAACUAAUUAUUCUCUAACUUAUUUAGACCCACAUUAUUAGAUGAAUUGAACUAUCGGAAUUAACUACAUGAAGUUCAAGAUCAUUUGGAACUCGUUUUACAGUUAUUGAAAUUAAAACUAACAUUAAUCACUAACUCGAAGUAAUUCAUCACAGUCUAAUCCAUAAGGCAUGUUUAUUUCAAGUGAACUACUGAUAUUAACUACUAGUGUACAAUUAAGACCAAUGUUGAAACAAGGCAUUCAUUGAAAUGGAACAGUCCUAAUUUUACUAAAACCACGGCUAAAUAAAUAGUGAAAUAAAAUAGUCCGAAGUGAUUUAACUUACUACAUAUACAGUCCAGCUUAGUUCUACUUGUGCCUACUAGAGUUACGAUACGCCACUAACCAAAUCACAUAAUUAUCUAACAACAAAUGUAAAACAGAGAAUGAACAGACUAAUUCCAAUAUGUAUUUUGAACAAUCUACAGUCAACUAAUUAGGAUAACAGAGUGCUGAAAUCCAUUACACUUACUACAGUUCAUUCAAAAAUAGGAAAAACUAGUUAUCACUUCAUUCUAUUAGAAUAUAAUUGUGUGUAAUCUUUUUAUUAUUGGUAGAAUAUUCUCUCAUUAUUGUACAGUCCUAUAGUUGGUAGAAUUUGGCUGCAGAAGUAAGUUUCACAGUUGGUGAUAGAGAAAAAUAUUUUUUGUGUAUCUUUUUAUUAUUUGUAAAAUAUUCUUUUAUUAUUAUACAGUCUUGUAGUUGGUAGGAUUUGAUUUCCUUCAUUAUUGCACAGUCCUAUAGCUGGUAGGAUUUAAUACCCCUGUACUCUAUAUAUACUUUUGUGAGCAAUACGAGAAAAUUACUUCUCCCAAAACUCUCUACAUGGUAUCAUACGCCAGUAGCUAAUCGCCAAAGAAACCCUAAUUCUACCCUACCCGCGCCGUCGCCGCCGCCGCCGAUGCUGCACUAAUCGGCAGCUCUCUCUCUCUCUCGACGUCGAUCAGCGCCUCCUCUCUUUUGUCUCGCGCUUCAUGGCCGCUCCGACGUCAAACAAGCUUCUCCACCCGAUUGCCAUUAAUGCAUCGGCUCAGAUCCCACUCAAAUUGGAUUCCACUAAUUACCUGGCGUGGAAAUUCUAAUUCCGAACCCUUCUUACGGGUUACGACCUCCUCGGCUUCUUGGACGGAUCGAAGCCAUGCCCACCAGCCACUAUCGUCGACA
rnacentral:lncRNA from 1 species